GCGGCGUGCUUAACACAUGCAAGUCGAACGGAAAGGCCCUGCUUUUGUGGGGUGCUCGAGUGGCGAACGGGUGAGUAACACGUGAGUAACCUGCCCUUGACUUUGGGAUAACUUCAGGAAACUGGGGCUAAUACCGGAUAGGAGCUCCUGCUGCAUGGUGGGGGUUGGAAAGUUUCGGCGGUUGGGGAUGGACUCGCGGCUUAUCAGCUUGUUGGUGGGGUAGUGGCUUACCAAGGCUUUGACGGGUAGCCGGCCUGAGAGGGUGACCGGCCACAUUGGGACUGAGAUACGGCCCAGACUCCUACGGGAGGCAGCAGUGGGGAAUAUUGCACAAUGGGCGGAAGCCUGAUGCAGCAACGCCGCGUGCGGGAUGACGGCCUUCGGGUUGUAAACCGCUUUCGCCUGUGACGAAGCGUGAGUGACGGUAAUGGGUAAAGAAGCACCGGCUAACUACGUGCCAGCAGCCGCGGUGAUACGUAGGGUGCGAGCGUUGUCCGGAUUUAUUGGGCGUAAAGGGCUCGUAGGUGGUUGAUCGCGUCGGAAGUGUAAUCUUGGGGCUUAACCCUGAGCGUGCUUUCGAUACGGGUUGACUUGAGGAAGGUAGGGGAGAAUGGAAUUCCUGGUGGAGCGGUGGAAUGCGCAGAUAUCAGGAGGAACACCCAGUGGCGAAAGGCGGUUCUCUGGGCCUUUCCCUGACGGCUGAGGAGCGAAAGCGUGGGGAGCGAACAGGCUUAGAUACCCUGGUAGUCCACGCUGUAAACGGUGGGUACUAGGUGUGGGGUCCAUUCCACGGGUUCCGUGCCGUAGCUAACGCUUUAAGUACCCCGCCUGGGGAGUACGGCCGCAAGGCUAAAACUCAAAGGAAUUGACGGGGCCCCGCACAAGCGGCGGAGCAUGCGGAUUAAUUCGAUGCAACGCGUAGAACCUUACCUGGGUUUGACAUGGAUCGGGAGUGCUCAGAGAUGGGUGUGCCUCUUUUGGGGUCGGUUCACAGGUGGUGCAUGGCUGUCGUCAGCUCGUGUCGUGAGAUGUUGGGUUAAGUCCCGCAACGAGCGCAACCCUUGUUCACUGUUGCCAGCACGUUAUGGUGGGGACUCAGUGGAGACCGCCGGGGUCAACUCGGAGGAAGGUGGGGAUGACGUCAAGUCAUCAUGCCCCUUAUGUCCAGGGCUUCACGCAUGCUACAAUGGCUGGUACAGAGAGUGGCGAGCCUGUGAGGGUGAGCGAAUCUCGGAAAGCCGGUCUCAGUUCGGAUUGGGGUCUGCAACUCGACCUCAUGAAGUCGGAGUCGCUAGUAAUCGCAGAUCAGCAACGCUGCGGUGAAUACGUUCCCGGGGCUUGUACACACCGCCCGUCAAGUCAUGAAAGUUGGUAACACCCGAAGCCGGUGGCCUAACCGUUGUGGGGGAGCCGUCGAAGGUGGGACUGGUGAUU
rnacentral:rRNA from 1 species